GUCUUUAAGAAUUUAAUUUAAAGUNUAAUCUGCCCAAUGAUAUUAAUUUAAUGGCUGCAGUAUUUUUAACUGUACAAAGGUAGCAUAAUAAUUUGUUUUUUAAUUAAAAACUAGAAUGAAAGAUUUGAUAAAAUAUAAACUGUUUCAAUUAAAAAGAUUAAAAUUUUUAUUUAAGUUAAAAAACUUAAAUAAAUUUUAAAGACGAUAAGACCCUAUAGAAUUUUAUUAAUUUUUUAAUAUAUAAAUAAAAUAUUAUAAAAUUAAUUUAAUUGGGGUAAUUUAAAAAUUUAUAAAAUUUUUUAUUUAUUAAACAUUUAUUAAUGAUUAAAUAAUCUUAAUUUUUAAAUUAAAAAAAUUAAUUACCUUAGGGAUAACAGCAUAAUUUUUUUUUUAAGUUCUUAUUUAUAAAAAAGAUUAU
rnacentral:rRNA from 1 species